AACUGUUGCCUCGGCGGGGUCACGCCCCGGGUGCGUCGCAGCCCCGGAACCAGGCGCCCGCCGGAGGGACCAACCAAACUCUUUCUGUAGUCCCCUCGCGGACGUUAUUUCUUACAGCUCUGAGCAAAAAUUCAAAAUGAAUCAAAACUUUCAACAACGGAUCUCUUGGUUCUGGCAUCGAUGAAGAACGCAGCGAAAUGCGAUAAGUAAUGUGAAUUGCAGAAUUCAGUGAAUCAUCGAAUCUUUGAACGCACAUUGCGCCCGCCAGUAUUCUGGCGGGCAUGCCUGUCCGAGCGUCAUUUCAACCCUCGAACCCCUCCGGGGGUCCGGCGUUGGGGAUCGGGAACCCCUAAGACGGGAUCCCGGCCCCGAAAUACAGUGGCGGUCUCGCCGCAGCCUCUCAUGCGCAGUAGUUUGCACAACUCGCACCGGGAGCGCGGCGCGUCCACGUCCGUAAAACACCCAACUUCUGAAAUGUUGACCUCGGAUCAGGUAGGAAUACCCGCUGAACUUAAGCAU
rnacentral:rRNA from 1 species